UACGUAGGGUGCAAGCGUUAAUCGGAAUUACUGGGCGUAAAGCGCGCGUAGGUGGCUUCGUAAGUCCGUUGUGAAAGUCAAAGGCUCAACCUUUGAAAGCCGAUGGAUACUGCGGAGCUAGAGUACGGAAGAGGCGAGUGGAAUUCCUGGUGUAGCGGUGGAAUGCGCAGAUAUCAGGAGGAACACCAAUAGCGAAGGCAGAUCUCUGGGCCGUAACUGACGCUGAGGAGCGAAAGCAUGGGGAGCGAACAGG
rnacentral:rRNA from 1 species